rnacentral:rRNA from 1 species
UGGGGAAUAUUGCACAAUGGGGGGAACCCUGAUGCAGCGACGCCGCGUGAGUGAAGAAGUCAUUCGUGAUGUAAAGCUCUAUCAGCAGGGAAGAAAAUGACGGUACCUGACUAAGAAGCCCCGGCUAACUACGUGCCAGCAGCCGCGGUAAUACGUAGGGGGCAAGCGUUAUCCGGAUUUACUGGGUGUAAAGGGAGCGUAGACGGCUUGUCAAGUCCGGAGUGAAAGCCCGGGGCCCAACCCCGGGACUGCUCUGGAAACUGGUGAGCUUGAGUGCGGGAGGGGCAGGCGGAAUUCCUAGUGUAGCGGUGAAAUGCGUAGAUAUUAGGAGGAACACCGGCGGCGAAGGCGGCCUGCUGGACCGUAACUGACGUUGAGGCUCGAAAGCGUGGGGAGCAAACAGG